GACCCCUUCGUCUAGUGGCCUAGGACACUGCCCUUUCACGGCGGCAACACGGGUUCGAGUCCCGUAGGGGUCGCCA
rnacentral:tRNA from 2 species